CCUAUAGGGUUAUUCAGCUACCGUAAAAAAUAACGAAAAAGAAAGGAAAAAAAAAGGCUUCUCCUCUCUCAGCGCCGCUUCAACCCCAGCCGCGCAAAAGACCUCCGAUUCCCCCACCCUUUUUCCGAUCACGACGAAGAGGAUGAGGGUACGGCUUCGCAACACAGGUACAGCCGUACGGAGGAGCGUGGCGUGGAGGCGCGCGUGUGGAGGCUCGUGACGUGGCUCGGUGCGUACGAAGGCAGAAGCUGGGUCCUGGUUGCUACGGCGCUAGGAUCUCCUAGGGUUUUCUGUUUGUGAUUUUUUUAUUUUGGGCUUCAAUGUAACUAGGCUAGGUUUCUGUAAACGAGCUAGGGAUUUGGGUCUGAUGUACUUGGGUUUAUCUAGGCUUGUUUUUAUUUUGGGUAUUUAGUUGUAAAAAACUGAACAUUUUAUUUAUUUAUAUAUUUUUUUAA